ACCUUGGCUCUAGACUGCUUACUGCCAAACACUGCGGGAGAAACAGUAACAGUCUACAGUCAUGGCU
rnacentral:pre_miRNA from 1 species